GAAAAAAGUAUGUACACAAUUAUCACUGUACAUGUUUUCUUAAUGUUUGGGUAAGCAAGCAAGUUAUCUUGAUAUAAUAAUAUUCGGGAACUGGAGCAAAUACUUUGGACAGUCUGCUACUGAUCAGGCCUGUGUGACAUCAAUGCGUUUGACAUGUCCUGAGAAAAGAUCAAGUCAAGGAAAGUUUCGAAAAGCAAAUUGAAGCAAGGAAGGGG
rnacentral:lncRNA from 1 species